UACGUAGGGUGCGAGCGUUGUCCGGAAUUAUUGGGCGUAAAGAGCUCGUAGGCGGCUUGUUGCGUCGACUGUGAAAAACCACGUCUCAACCGUGGGACUGCAGUCGAUACGGGCAGGCUAGAGUUCGGUAGGGGAGACUGGAAUUCCUGGUGUAGCGGUGAAAUGCGCAGAUAUCAGGAGGAACACCGGUGGCGAAGGCGGGUCUCUGGGCCGAUACUGACGCUGAGGAGCGAAAGCGUGGGGAGCGAACAGG
rnacentral:rRNA from 1 species